GACGGAGGGUGCAAGCGUUGUUCGGAUUGACUGGGCGUAAAGGGCGUGUAGGCGGUUGGUCAAGUCCGAUGUGAAAGCCCGGGGCUCAGCUUCGGAAGUGCAUCGGAAACUAGCCAGCUGGAGCGCGAUAGAGGAGGGCGGAAUUCCUGGUGUAGCGGUGAAAUGCGUAGAUAUCAGGAGGAACGACCGGCGGCGAAGGCGGCCCUCUGGAUCGUUGCUGACGCUGAGACGCGAAAGCGUGGGGAGCAAACAGG
rnacentral:rRNA from 1 species